rnacentral:rRNA from 1 species
GACGAACGCUGGCGGCGUGCUUAACACAUGCAAGUCGAACGGAAAGGCCCUGCUUUUGUGGGGUGCUCGAGUGGCGAACGGGUGAGUAACACGUGAGUAACCUGCCCUUGACUUUGGGAUAACUUCAGGAAACUGGGGCUAAUACCGGAUAGGAGCUCCUGCUGCAUGGUGGGGGUCGGAAAGUUUCGGCGGUUGGGGAUGGACUGGCGGCUUAUCAGCUUGUUGGUGGGGUAGUGGCUUACCAAGGCUUUGACGGGUAGCCGGCCUGGGAGGGUGACCGGCCACAUUGGUACUGAGAGACGGCCCAGACUCCUACGGGAGGCAGCGGUGGGAAAUAUUGCACAGUGGGCGGAAGCCUGUUGCAGCAACGCCGCGUGCGGGAUGACGGCCUUCGGGUUAUAAACCGCUUUCGCCUGUGACGAAGCGUGAGUGACGGUAAUGGGUAAAGAAGCACCGGCUAACUACGUG